ACAGGUCAUCUUCUUUUCUUAUUCUCAGAUCAAUGAAAUUAAAUCUUCUAAAUUAUUAGAACUAUAAAAUGAUAGAAUUAUGAGAUAAUUUAGUCAUAGCCUCUCAUUAAGGUGCAUGAUAAUGAGUCUAAUAUUCUAAAUACGCAUUGGAGGAGCCACACGCCUGGUAUCUAUUAUGUAUUAGAAUUGUCAUUCAUUAUAUGACCAUCAUGAUGUACCUUCAGAUCAAUAC
rnacentral:lncRNA from 1 species